rnacentral:rRNA from 1 species
AGCAGUAGCCACGGGAAUACGGAGGGAGCUAGCGUUAUUCGGAAUUACUGGGCGUAAAGCGCACGUAGGCGGCUUUGUAAGUUAGAGGUGAAAGCCUGGUGCUCAACACCAGAACUGCCUUUGAUACUGCAUCGCUUGAAUCCAGGAGAGGUGAGUGGAAUUCCGAGUGUAGAGGUGAAAUUCGUAGAUAUUCGGAAGAACACCAGUGGCGAAGGCGGCUCACUGGACUGGUAUUGACGUUGAGGUGCGAAAGCGCGGGGAGCAAACAGGAUUAGAUACCCCAGUAGUCCCUGUCUCUUAUAC